UAAAAACUUAAAAUUUAAAAGACUUGACGGUGCUUCACAUCUCCCUAGAGGAGCCUGUCCAAUAACCCGAUAAUCCACGAUCAACCCAACCUUUUCUGGCCAAACAGUCUAUAUACCGCCGUCGCCAGCCUACCUUGUGAAAGAAAUAAAGUAAGCACAACAGCACCACGCUAGUACGACAGGUCGAGGUGUAACUAAUGAAAAGGUUAAGAUGGGCUACAUUUCUUAAACUAAGAAAACGAACAGACUAUGAAACUAGAAACUGAAGACGGAUUUAGCAGUAGGAUAAGAACAAAAUACUUACCCGAAACCAAAGCAAUGAAGUGCGC
rnacentral:rRNA from 1 species